GACGAACGCUGGCGGCGUGCCUAAUACAUGCAAGUCGAGCGGAAGUUGAAGAGCUUGCUCUUCAACUUUAGCGGCGGACGGGUGAGUAACACGUGGGCAACCUGCCCUGCAGAUCGGGAUAACUCCGGGAAACCGGUGCUAAUACCGAAUAGUUUUCGCCACCUCCUGGUGGCGUACGGAAAGACGGUUUCGGCUGUCACUGCAGGAUGGGCCCGCGGCGCAUUAGCUAGUUGGUGGGGUAACGGCCCACCAAGGCGCCGAUGCGUAGCCGACCUGAGGGGGUGAUCGGCCACACUGGGACUGAGACACGGCCCAGACUCCUACGGGAGGCAGCAGUAGGGAAUCUUCCGCAAUGGGCGAAAGUCUGACGGAGCAACGCCGCGUGAGUGACGAAGGUUUUCGGAUCGUAAAACUCUGUUGUGAGGGAAGAACAAGUACCAACUAACUACUGGUACCUUGACGGUACCUCACCAGAAAGCCACGGCUAACUACGUGCCAGCCGCCGCGGUAAGAC
rnacentral:rRNA from 1 species